rnacentral:rRNA from 1 species
UACGUAGGGGGCAAGCGUUGUCCGGAUUUAUUGGGCGUAAAGAGCGUGUAGGCGGCCAAGCAGGUCCGCUGUGAAAACUCGAGGCUCAACCUCGAGAGGUCGGUGGAAACCGUUUGGCUAGAGUCCGGAAGAGGAGAGUGGAAUUCCCGGUGUAGCGGUGAAAUGCGCAGAUAUCGGGAAGAACACCCGUGGCGAAGGCGGCUCUCUGGGACGGUACUGACGCUGAGGAGCGAAAGCGUGGGGAGCGAACAGG